rnacentral:lncRNA from 7 species
UAAAAGCGGUCAGGGCAGCGCUCAUGGCACACUUUUGCUCCAGGGCCAGGGACGCGACACGCUAGUGCUCGUGGGAGGCGGUGACGACCACCUAGAUGGUGGCGAUGGCCGCGACGAGCGAGGAGGAUGCAGAUGGAGGAGUCGUCGACGACGGGGCGAUGUUGACCCACGUGGUGUCGGAGAUGGUGGGGAAGCUUGGCGGGGUAUGACGACGGGUACUGCUUCUGCUGCGCCACGAGGGUAGAUGGGUGCUGCUGUGGCGCGUACGUAGUAGGGGAGGUGCCGGGAAGGG